UGCGAUUUCAUUGAGAAAUUUUUGAGGCCUCUUUGAACUCGUCCCAAAUCAAAAAGGACCAAAAAACAAUCAAUGAAAUGAUCUCAAUUACUCAUUUUAACAAAGAACAGAUGGUUGUUACUUUGGAUAAAAAGCACCAAUCAAAUGCUAAUCACUUCAAUUGAAAGGAUAUAAGUGCUGCAUUAGUGCAUAAUAGUAACCAGUAUGAGCAUCUGUUUGAAGAAAUUGAACCAUAAAAAGAAUUAAGAUGGCUAUAUGUUACUUUGAAUGGAUGAAUAUGUCUAUAGAAACCCUCGAACAAGUAUUUAAGAAUACAAGGGGCUAAAGCAUCCCUGAAUCAGUCCAGGAACUUCAGUAAAACCCUCAAGGAUAAAAUUUAUUAUGAGCUAGAUGAGGCAAUGUAUCUAUUUCAACAGAUGAAACAAUCUCUAAUUAAACUUGCUAAUAAAAAUCAGGAACUACAAAACCAGGUGGCAGAAGCCAGGACUUUGGCUUGCAUGGGCCACAUGACUUCACAACAUAAGAAAUCAACAUAUGCUGAAGUUUUAAAAAGACCAUCUUGUCCAUCCAAUGACAAAGUAAUACUUGUGUACCCUAAGGAUAAUGAAAACAUAGAAAGUGUAAUGGAGGAAAUAGGAAAUAAUAAAAAACACUGAUGCACAUAUCCCAGGAAGGAAGGAAGCUUGUCUUGAGAAUUUUUAAUUGAAAGCAAGUCUUAUAACAGUAUCCUCAUCAAUGUCAGCAGUGGAAGGAACAGUAAAAAGCAAUUACUAAAAUGAACUAAAUACAGCUCUAAUGUGAACUACCAUCCCUAUUCCAGUUUCAACAUCACCAUCUACAACAGAUAUUGGAAAAUAAAAUUCUGAAAUACAACCUGUUGGAAUUGGUUUUUAUAUUGCCAACAAUUUUGUUUUGCAUCUCCACAGAUUAAAUUAAUGCAUCAAAGUUUAUUUUCAGUUUUAUAUUAAUAAAUGCCAAUUCUUAGGUGAUACAAAUAAAUUAUACAGAAACUUCAAUUAUGUUAUUUGAAUUAAAUUUCAAACAAUAAAGUCAGUCAUGACAUUUAAUCAGUAA
rnacentral:lncRNA from 1 species